rnacentral:rRNA from 1 species
GGGCCCGCACAAGCGGUGGAGCAUGUGGUUUAAUUCGAUGCAACGCGAAGAACCUUACCAAGGCUUGACAUACUACAAAUUUCUUUGAAAGAGGAAAGUGCCUUCGGGAAUGUAGAUACAGGUGGUGCAUGGCUGUCGUCAGCUCGUGUCGUGAGAUGUUGGGUUAAGUCCUAUAACGAGCGCAACCCCUAUCGUUAGUUGCCAUCAAGUAAAGUUGGGAACUCUAGCGAAACUGCCGGUGCAAACCGUGAGGAAGGUGGGGAUGACGUCAAAUCAUCACGGCCCUUACAUCCUGGGCUACACACGUACUACAAUGCUACGGACAAAGGGCAGCAAGUUCGCGAGGACAAGCAAAUCCCAUAAACCGUGGCUCAGUUCAGAUCGUAGGCUGCAACUCGCCUACGUGAAGGCGGAAUC